rnacentral:lncRNA from 1 species
GAGAGAUAGAGCUAGAGAGGAAGAGAGCUAGAGGGAGAGAGAGCCAGAGAGAGAGCCAGAGAGAUAGAGAGAGAGAGAGAUAGAGAGAUAGAGAGAGAGCCAGAGAGAUAGAGAGAGAGAGAUAGAGAGAUAGAGAGAGAGCCAGAGAGAUAGAGAGAGAGAAAUAGAGAGAGAGAGAGAGAAAUAGAGAGAGAGAGAGAGAGAGAGCCAGAGAGGAGGUUUGUUUAAGGUCAUGUUUAGACACAUGAUGUGUUAUUGGUGCCAGGGGAGAAGGCAGAAGACAGUAAGUACUUGUUUGUGCAGAGUAAACCACUGCAUCCCAAAAGACACCUCAUUCCCUAUAUAGUGCACUACUUUAGACCAGGGCCCCAUUCCCUAUAUAGUGCACUACUUUAGACCAGGGCAAAUGGCACCCCAUUCCCUAUAUAGUGCACUACUUUAGACCAGGGCAAAUGGCACCCCAUUCCCUAUAUAGUGCACUACUUUAGACCUGAGCCCAUGUGUAUAGCGUCGACAGCCCAGGCACUAACAGAAGGAAGCCUGGAACCAAAGUUAAAGUUGCUAUUCAACAUGUAACAAUUUUAAUUAAAAAAAUGUUAAUCUUGAAAUCAGACGUCACUGAAAUGAUCUGAGAAGUGAUGGAAAAGAUGGGUCCAUUUUGAACAUCCAUCCAGAGAUGACCAUACAGAAGGAUGGGAUGGUCCUGAAGCUGUGUGAAAUGGAACCCCGUUCCAGAGAUGACCAUACAGAAGGAUGGGAUGGUCCUGAAGCUGUGUGAAAUGGAACCCCGUUCCAGAGAUGACCAUACAGAAGGAUUGAUGGUCCUGAAGCUGUCUGAAAUGGAACCCCGUUCCCUAUAUAGUGCACUACUUUAGACCAGGGCAAAUGGAACCCCGUURCCUAUAUAGUGCACUACUUUAGACCAGGGCAAAUGGAACCCUGUUCCCUAUAUAGUGCACUACUUUAAACCAGACCCAUUAUGUGCUCUGGUCCAAAGUAGUGCACUACAUACUAAAUAGGGUGCCAGAUAGUGUUAAAGGUGUUGUCCACUGACAUCAUCUCCUCCAAAACGUGCCACUCUUGGGGGGGGGGCGGAGUUAUUGUAAAUAAUGUGUCCAAUCGGUACAUCUGACCUAGUU